rnacentral:rRNA from 1 species
AGCAGCCGCGGUAAUUCCAGCUCCAAUAGCGUAUAUUAAAGUUGUUGCAGUUAAAAAGCUCGUAGUUGAAUUUCGGAAUCAAUGGAUCGGUCAUGCCACUCGGUGUGUACUGGUUUGAUUGGUUCUCACCUUCUAAGGAACCGUGAUGUCAUUAAUUUGGUGUCGCGGGGAAUUAGGACUGUUACCUUGAAAAAAUUAGAGUGUUUAAAGCAAGCUCACGCUUGAAUACAUUAGCAUGGAAUAAUGAAAUAGGACAUUGUAUUCUAUUUUGUUGGUUUCUAGGAUCGAUGUAAUGAUUAAUAGGGAUAGUUGGGGGCAUUAGUAUUCAAUCGUCAGAGGUGAAAUUCUUGGAUUUAUUGAAGACUAACUACUGCGAAAGCAUUUGCCAAGGAUGUUUUCAUUAAUCAAGAACGAAAGUUAGGGGAUCGAAGACGAUCAGAUACCGUCGUAGUCUUAACCAUAAACUAUGCCGACUAGGGAUCGGAUGAUGUUAAUUUUUAAUGACUCAU